ACUCCUACGGGAGGCAGCAGUGGGAAUUUUGGACAAUGGGCGCAAGCCUGAUCCAGCCAUGCCGCGUGCGGGAAGAAGGCCUUCGGGUUGUAAACCGCUUUUGUCAGGGAAGAAAGGUUCUGGCUAAUACCUGGGACUCAUGACGGUACCUGAAGAAUAAGCACCGGCUAACUACGUGCCAGCAGCCGCGGUAAUACGUAGGGUGCAAGCGUUAAUCGGAAUUACUGGGCGUAAAGCGUGCGCAGGCGGUUAUGCAAGACAGAGGUGAAAUCCCCGGCGUCACUAGGCACUGGCAUUGUGCAUCUGCAUGGCUAGAGUACGGUAGAGGGGGAUGGAAUUCCGCGUGUAGCAGUGAAAUGCGUAGAUAUGCGGAGGAACACCGAUGGCGAAGGCAAU
rnacentral:rRNA from 1 species